AUGGCCACACCUGCAGCAUAUGAAAGUUCCCAGGCCAGGGGUCGAACUGGAGCUGCAGCUGCCAGCCUGCGCCACAGCCACAGCAAUGCCAGAUCUGAGCCACAUCUAAGACCUACAUCACAGCUCACCAGCAACACUAGAUCCUUAACCCACUGAGCGAGGUCAGGUAUUGAACCCACAUCAUCAUGGAUACUAGUUGGGUUCAUAACCGGUUGAGCCACAGCGGGAACUCUCUACAGUGUGGUGUUAAUUUCUGCUGUAGAGCAAAGUGACUCAGUUUUACAUAUAUACUUUUUCAUAUUCUUUGUUCAUUACGGUUUAUGCAGGAUAUUGAAUAUAGUUCCCUGUGCUAUGCAAUAGGACCCAGCUGCCUAUCCCUCCUCUACGUAACAGUUUGCCUCUGUUAGUCCCAAACUCACAACCCUUUCCUUACUAACUUUUAAAAUUACAGCCAAGACACGGAAACAACCUAAAUGUCCACCGACAGAGGAGUGGAUCAAGAAGAGGGGGUACCUAUAUACAAUGGAAUAUUACUCAGCCAUUAAAAGGAAAGAAAUAACAGCAUUUGUAGCAACAUGGGUGGACCUAGAAAUUAUCAUGCUACUUGAAGUCAGUCAGACAAUGAGACACCAACAUCAAAUGCUAUCACUUACAUGUGGAAUCUAAAAAAAGGACACAAUGAACCUCUUUGCAGAACAGAUACAGACUCACAGACUUUGAAAAAUGUAUGGUUUCCAAAGGAGACAGACUGGGGGGUGGGGGGAGGCGCUGAGGGUUCGGGAUGGAUAUGCUGUAAAAUUUGGUUGCGAUGAUUGUUGUACACCUAUAAAUGUAAUAAAAUUCAUUGAGUAAUAAAAUAAAUAAAUACCAAGACAUAAAAUCAAAUAAAAUUAUAUAAUCACGAAUACAUAUUUUUUAACACGGAUGACUUUGAGUGAAAGUAAAAUUCUUUUUCUUUUUUAACUUGACAGUAGGCUUGGAAAUCUUUCAAUGUCAUUUCCUUCCUUUAAAAGGCGCAGACUAUUCUACAGUAUGGUUAUAGCGUCAUUGCAAAGCAUUCCCAUACUGCUGGACAUCAACAGUGUUUCUAAUUUCAUUGCAACUCUAAGUAAUGCUGUAAUUAAUUUCUUUGUGAAAAUCAGUUCUACACAGUCAGGCACUGUUUUCUAUGUAUCUCUACCUGGGGGCCCAAUACGAUUCAAACAACAGUUGGGAGAGAGCGACUAUGCCCUGUAUGUUUUGUUGCGGUGGUGGUUCCACUGAACAUAGCAGGUCCAGGCAGGUCCUCAAGAGAUGCUCAGGAAUUGAGAACGUCCUCCCACUGUCUCUAGGCCUCUGGUGAGUGGAGUGUGCUGGGGUGCAAGCUGGCAACGGGUGCCUCGUGCAUAGUAGGCAAUCUAAAAAAUAUUAAAUGACCCCAACCACUUGAAUAAACUGAAGCAUUGUGCCAGAAAGUUGGAAAAUUGUCCGUGUGAAGCAACUCUCUGCCUCCUUGGCCUUUUAGGGGCAGAGAGGACAUGUCUCCCCACCCCCGACCCCCCGGCCCAUUCAUCUUUCUGCCAGCCGCUCCAAGCGAGAUGCCUGCCAGCUUCCUCUCUCGAGUGGUCCAGGCAAGGUCAUUACCUGGCAACAAGAACUCUCCUUAUCUCCCUGGCCCUGUUUCAGAAAAGAGUCAUUGACAGCAGGGAUUCAAUCUCCCUUCUAAAGCCCUUUCCCAGAUAAACAAGCUUUAAAGAAUCCAUCGUUUGCUUGACCUUUUGAGAGGCCAAGUCAUCAAACCAGCAGGGAGGAGGCUAAGGAAGUGCUGCCCCCUCGCCAGGAAAAGGUUCUCUCUCCCAAAAGAUUUGUGGCCCCGGAGAGGGCUUACAAGAGAGACCCAGAACCACAGAGGCAGCUCUGAAAACAAACCGCUAUCAAUUUAACAGGGCAUGGCUUUUCAAAUCCGACCUGAGGUCCACACACAUGGGAAGACUUCAGGAUGGGAAGUAGCAGAUGGCCAGCCAGGGGAAGCACAGAAAUCCCUCUAGGGUGGGUUUUCCACGAAGAAUGGACAGUACUGGAGAUUCAUCCUUGCCCUACAGAAAUAACGAACAAUUCAAAGAACGUGAAGGAAAGAGUUCUUUGGGACGCAGCGGGUUAAGGAGCUGGCAUUGUCCCUGCAGCAGCUCAGGUCACUGCUGUGGCACAGGUUCCAUGCCUGGCCCCAGGAAUUUCCACAUGCUGUGGGUGUGGCCCAAAAAAAAAAAAAAAACGUGGAGCAAGAAAUAGAGAAAAAGACAACAGAAAGAAAAAGAAAGAGAAAAUGGAGAAAGAAUAAAGAAGGACUCACAGAGGGUGAGGCAAGGAUGGACGGCCAAUGGAUGAUAUAAGGAUCCAGGGAAAAAGCAGGCGAGUUGCUGUGAGCGCUUUGAAAGAAAAGGAGGACUGUCCCAAAGUACGGACAUAGGAGUGGUUUAAAUUC
rnacentral:lncRNA from 1 species